rnacentral:rRNA from 1 species
CUGUACCUACGGGGGGCAGCAGUGGGGAAUCUUGCACAAUGGGCGAAAGCCUGAUGCAGCAACGCCGCGUGAGCGAAGAAGGCCUUUGGGUCGUAAAGCUCUGUCCUAAGGGAAGAAGGAAGUGACGGUACCUUAGGAGGAAGCCCCGGCUAACUACGUGCCAGCAGCCGCGGUAAUACGUAGGGGGCAAGCGUUAUCCGGAAUUAUUGGGCGUAGAGAGUACGUAGGCGGUUCUUUAAGCGUAGGGUCUAAGGCGAUGGCUUAACCAACGUUCGCCCUGUGAACUGGGGGCAUUGAGUAU